AUUGAACGCUGGCGGCAGGCUUAACACAUGCAAGUCGAACGAUUGGCGGGCGGGUGAGUAAUGCUUGGGAAUCUAGCUUAUGGAGGGGGAUAACUACGGGAAACUGUAGCUAAUACCGCGUACCAUAGGAUGAGCCCAAGUGGGAUUAGGUAGUUGGUGAGGUAAAGGCUCACCAAGCCGACGAUCUCUAGCUGGUCUGAGAGGAUGACCAGCCAAAACGGGAUUGAGACACGGCCAAGACUCCUACGAGAGGCAGCAGUGGGGAAUAUUGCGCAAUGGGGGCACCCUGACGCAGCCAUGCCGCGUGAAUGAAGAAGGCCUUCGGGUCGUAAAGGUCUUCAGGUAGCGAGGCGUUAACUACAGAAGAAGCACAGGCCAACUCCGUGCCAGCAGCCGCGGUAAUAC
rnacentral:rRNA from 1 species